CUCAGCCAGGUGCUGCACUUGCUCAACCUCUUGUCUCCAUCAGAACCUCACUGCACAACCAACAUGGGGUGAGCCUUCCACCAAACUUCUUUCCUUCUGUCAGAACAUAGUGAUGUUUAAAUAUGUGAAUAUUCUUUGUGUGCAAGAUGAAAGGCUCGCACGGAGAACGGCGCGCUGUGCAUUAGGCUCGGCAGAUAUCCUCUGGGAGCUGAACAGAGAAGGACUGUUUGAGAUGUGCACUCUAUGCUUGUCAAAGAGAAGCAGCUGUCCAGACAUAUGUUAGAGGCUGUCAGUACUGCUACAGAAGCAAACCACUGAGCUCAUGGACUGCCUCUGCCAAUGACUAAGGUCAGCUACUGGAAAAAGUUACAAACCAGCUAUUACAGCCAGGUUUGAUGCUGCAGAAAGGCCUUCAUGGAGAACUGGUAUUCUUUGUUCAUUUUUGUGCAGUUCAGUAAGACUCUGCCCUGGAAAACUUCUCAUUCUCAAGCUUCUUAGUCUCAAAACAAGAACAGUAAGAUGUGUGCGGGUCAGUUUGGGAGGUGGGAUUUAUUUUUUUGGCCAUCAAGUUUUUCUGUCAUAAUAUUCCUUUAUGUUGGCAAAUGGGGAUCAUUCCUGAAAAGGGUCAGGACAGCUUGUCUAUGUGGUAGUUGUUCUUCCCCUCCCCUACCCUUAAAGCAUUGCAGGAGCUUAAGCAACACUCUGGCUGACAUAAAGGGUAGAGGCACCAGUCUGGUGGGGAGGAUGCAGGGCCACCACUGCAGGCCAAGGAAUUCUCAAUCCUUACCUAAACAUGGGGACCCUCUGACACCUCUGCUCUGGUCAGCAGCCUUCUCUGUAGAACACAGGCUGGGAUCUAGUUACAAUUUUAAUGAGAAGAGCUCAGAAAAGUUAUCAGCGACUGUAGGAGAGAAACAAGUGAGGAGACCAUAAAUCAGGCCCUCAGAUGAAUUCAGAAUGCACUAAUAAAAUCAGAACUUCCAAUAAAUUUCAUUUCAGGCAGAGCAGAAACAGUUUCUCAGUUGAGAGUUUGGGACAGAUCAUAAUUUCAGACGUGUGUCAGGCCAAUGUAGUGUGCCAGUGAAACUGUUUGGAAGCAGGCACCAGUGGCUGGACCAGAGUCAGGCCCUCACACCAGCUGAACUUUAGCUGGGUUGAAUAAAAAGGCAAGAAUCUCUACUUCUCUAAGCAAAGCUGAAUCUAUUUAAAUAUUUAAUGUGGGUUUUUUCCUUCCAAAUCCUUUGCUUUCUUGCUCUUUCAUACUGUGAUAUGAUGACAUUUGAACAACAAAUGCAGUCUUGGUAUGUUAGUCUCCUGGUAGUACUUUUUAUAUGAAAAGCUUGCACAUCCCAGCUGAAGUGCAGAUGCUGCAUUUAUGAGGUAUUUUGUCGUGAUCAAUUUUUAAAAAAUAUUUUUCCAUGCCAUGAAAUUAAUAGGCACCUGGGGAAAUACCAACCAACUCUUCCCUACUCCUGCAAAUACUAACCUUUCCCAGAUGGGAAGGUAUUUUUCUUUCCCUUUAUUUACCUGCAAGAUGUCCUUGCUGGUGCUCAGAAUCACAGAGAAAAAGCAUUAAGAAGAAAACAGUACAGAACACACCAACUGCACUAAACCCACUGCAUUCUGAGGAGCCAUUUACUGCAUAAACCCUGCAUAAUCUUCCCAGGGUCACAGAGUGAGUCAUUAGCAAGACAGCACUAAGACAGAGGCAUCCUGAUUUUUCUAACUACUGUGAUUACUUUAAGACCCCAAUUUAAAAGGCCAUAGGUUUGUUCUGGCAGUGCAGUCAUAGAGAUAACUACUCACAUCUUUACAAAUUGGUUUUCUUGCAAUCAUCUCACUAGCACAGGCCUGCAGCCCUUUGGUGUUUUGUCUGUGUUCAGUUCAAAACGAUUUUUUUCUACAAAACCCAAAGCAAGCCAGAGCUGAGCAGGAGCCUCUCCUCUUCCCUCCCGUGUCCACAGCUGCCUUGCCCCACAUCCCAUAGUGCUGGGACCUCCCCUUGCUGGGGUGACCCCAGGAACAUCAAGCGCCCUUCAGGUGCUCCUUUAUCACCUGUGGCUUUGGAUUGUUCUUCAAGAGAGACCUUAGGAUGCUUAAAACCAUCUGGCUGACCCAGGAAAGCAUUGGAGGAGAAAAACUCUGUUUUCUUGCCAAGCUUUUUUUUCUUGUUGAAGUUCCCUUUCAGAAUAGGGCUGCUGUAGGUGGCUGCUUUGGCAUCAUCAUCAGAUACAAACCCUCUCUGUUAGUAAAGGGUGAGUUUUCUUGUACUUAUUUUUCUAAAAAAUUCCUAAUUUUUAUUUGCAGGUAUUUAAAAAUAAAAAUAAAUGAAUAAAACCACACACCAUGUUUGCACAAACCAUGUAGCCCAACAGAGCUUGUGGGGAGAUGAUGGUCUGGCUACACCCAUCCAGCCACCACAUCACUGGUUAAGGGAAGGCUGGUUCAAUACAGACCAAACCACAGAACCCCAGAAAAUGGUCACUUGACAUAUUUUAGAUAAAAUAGAGACAUUUUCUAAACAAAAUAUAUCCCAGGAUUUGUGCUGCAGAUGCACUAAGCCAGUUAUUUGUAACUGGUUUUUCUACAAAACCCAUUUUCUCACGAUGACCUUUAAUGGCUGGCUGAAGGUGACUCAGGUAGGUACAGCCCCUCCAGAGGGAAAGCCUUUAGCCACACUGGCUGACACUGGUGUCAAAGGCAUAGCUAAUUUUAUAGAGGGAAAGCAGCAUGUUGUGAGAGCUGUAUGUGUUUGAUGCUUCAUUCCAUAUAUGAAUACAUCCAAUGAAGAAAACCCAUACUAAUUAAAAAAAAUAGAAAUUUUUCUUUUGUACUAGAAAUUAUAUAUUGAGCCAUUUUAGCUUUGGAACUUUUAAAGCAUCAUAUUUCUUUUUCCUUCAGAUUUUUUUUUUUUUUGUAAGAUACAACUAGGUGCCAUUGUAGUGUUAUAAAAUGCACAGCAAUUUCAAAUGAUUAAUACCUUGACAGCAUAAUCGUGUAAAAAAUCGUUUUUAUCCACUAUCUAAAAUUAACUUUUAAUUAAAAGAAUGUUAUAUUUGUUUUCUGAUACUAAAUUACCUUGAUUAUUUUAAAAUUGUGUGGGAUGUUGGCACAUACUAAAUAUACAACAUCUAUUUUUGUGUUGGGCUUUAACUGUCUGCCUGAAAUGUGACUUUCAAUUACUAAGCAUUAAUAAGUAUUUAGGAAUGUCCUGCUAUGUGAAUCAGCAAUUAAUCUGGCCAGGAAUUAGCUCUGUCUUUUGUAAUCUACAUGGUAGAAGGAACACACUACCUUCUUUCAGAACUGAACUGUAUUUGCACAAAACUGGUAUUUUUUUGACCUUAAUAAGAAAGGUUUGCAGGAACCACAGGCCAGCUGGAACCUGGAUGGAGCUCCAGAGAUCAACUUCAGUGCAUGGUGUUGGUGUUGGUGUUGUGUGGGCAGCCCUGACUCUGUACUGAGUUCUGCCACCACACACUGGCUACUCUGAUGUUUGUAUUUACCUCAGGAGGCCGAAAGUCCCUGACAGACCUUGACUCUCCCCC